rnacentral:sRNA from 1 species
UAGUUUACGUGGAGUUAGGAUUGUGAACCAACUUUGUUUUUUUUUUGAACACCAAGAUUUUAUAUGCCAAAACCUAUAAUCUUUGCAGGUCCGAAACCACAACAUUUAUAAUUAGUUUUGUUUCAAAUGUCAUUCGAAUCAGCAAUUUCAAAGAUUCGCUUAAUAUUGUGAACCAACUUUAAAGAUGUGGAGUUCUCUUAAACAGUUUUAAGUGUCUUCAUGAUACUUAAAGCAAAGAUUCUACAAUUUUAAGAUGCAUGACAAAUGAGUCCAUAAGAAUUUUGAUGAAUUUUUAAAGGUAACUAUGAUCAAGGUCAAUGUUUAAAAUAAGAAAUCAGUAAACAAGAUCAACUCAUUUAC